GUCGGGCAUUGAAGAGAGCUUAGAUCAGGACUGCUACCGUGCGCGACUGUCAUUAGCAUUAGCAUCUGGAAAUUCGUCGCUAGAACAUGUAAGAUAUCCGUAAAUGAACUUGUAAAUAAUGCUGCAUUUAUUACUCAAAAUCGCCACGAAAGUUGAAAUCUAUACUUGUGAUCUUACCAGCAUGAGGUUAUCAAAUUGCCAGCACAGCAACAGGCUUCCUAGUUAGAGUUUUGAUAAAUGUAAAUAAGCAGGAUGGCUGUGGAUAAUCGGUUGGCAUUCAAAAGAGGUGUAAUGUUUGUGCUUGGUAACCUUGGCAAAAUGUGGCAAUUCCGUUUGGGUGAUUCAUGAUUGUGUUGGUAAACCAUUGCAAUGCCACCAUAGUAAGGGCAUUGCAGUUUGGAAGUAAUUUGUCAACAAUCAAGGAAGUUAUGAUUUGUUCAAGAAUUUGCUUUUUAUUUACCUGUUUCUAUAAUUUUAGUGACUUUUCAUUAGCAUAAUGUCUAUUAAUAACAUGGUUGUCAUUCCGAGAGGUCCUCUGCUACUGGAUUGGAUUCGUUGGCAAGGUGUGGCAACCUAUGGGUGAUAAAUGAUGGUUUACCCCUUGAUACACAGCAGUUAUGUGAAAUGCUUGCACGCUCUAGAUUUGCUUUCUACGGAGAUUCAUUCAUCCAUUACCGUUGAUAAUGGUAGGUGUCAUGGCGGUUACCUUCCCAUUAAUACAGGUAUCUAAUGUAACAAAUAUGUUAAACUUUGUAUUUGUGUUGCCAGCAUGGAGAUGUCACAAUGUCAGCUAAGAUGCUUUAUAGUUUGGUGAUACUGUCUUGUUGUAGAUAAAAUAAAGUGGCUGGCUUUUUUCAACUAGAUGGUGUUGCAGGAUUAGGGAUGAUUUCCUUUCUAUAAUUUGUGAUUUAAUUUGCCCAAGGUUAUUGUUUUUGUGUCAAUUUGUUACAUCUUACCAGCGUUGGGUUGUCAAAAUGCCACCAUAGUAAGGGCUUAGAAGUUUGGAAGUGACUGUUUAUCAGCAGGGUGGUUGGUGAUACCCUAGAUUGAUUCCAAGAGGUCCUCUAUUACUGGCUCGGAGUUCUUGGCAACGUGCUUACCCUGUGAUGUACAACACUCAAAUAAGUUGCUUGUGGGUAGUUCAACGUAAAUGCUUCUUGGUUACGCGGAUUAGCGUCGUGUUGUACAAAAAAUUAAAUUCCUAUUUUGCUGGUUUCGCAGACAAGCAAAUUGAAAUCAAAUGAGCUUGUAAUUUGGUUAGGUCAUCACUGUAAAACAGAUUGCAAUCGUGGGCAUCCCAGAAUCAGAAAUUUGGGCAAACAGCUUCCAAAUAUAUUAGGACAUUUUUCUCCUUUGCGUUUGCGAAGGUGACACGCGAACAAAUCAAAUUAUGACACUUACCAGUCUACAUAUUAUCUUCCUGCGUCAACACAAUACCCUAGCCACUAAGCUGGGGUCUAUUAAUCCGCAUUGGAGUGAUGAAGUUCUUUAUCAGGAGACUCGACGGAUUAUUGGCGCUUUGAUCAACACAUCACUUAGUUUUCCGUCAUCCAUCUCCAAUGAAUCCGCGCGUUAACUGUAAUUCGGCGCAUAUUCUUCGUCUGAAUCUUGCCGCCUGGAAACAAUUAACUCCUUAUUAAAUAUUUCAGUUAUAUACAUAAUGUGUGGAUAGACCGUCGGUUGGUGGUUUCCAAGGACGUGGGUUCCAACUUCAACUGAUUCAAUUGCAAUAAGCGAUUCACAUCGUAGGAUUUAUUUUCUCCGUCUAAUUUACCCACUGAAAUGUUAAUGCACUUUCGACUAAAAUUCAAUAUUUUUAAAAGUGUGAAAAGAUUAUUCACAAGUGAGGAUGAAAUAUAGCCUAUAUAUAUUUACGCAACGUGUCGUUAUGUGUGAUCAUCGCAUUUUGACAAUGUAGUUCUCUGAUGAAUCCAGAAAAUCGACCAUCCCACUCAGUUUGGGAAGGAAUCAACAGCCCUAAAUUUACUUAUGUGUGGCAGCACAUAAGUUUCUUGCCAAUAUCAUAUAUUUGCUAGUUUCAGUUUUGAGUCACAAAUGUAA